rnacentral:ncRNA from 1 species
UGAUAGCGAUGAAGCGUGAGGUUGCUGCACAUCGUUGCAGGUUUUCCGUGGAGCGAAUGUCAAGUUAGGAAACUGACGACAA